GAUGAACGCUGGCGGCGUGCCUAAUACAUGCAAGUCGAGCGAACGGACGAGAAGCUUGCUUCUCUGAUGCUAGCGGCGGACGGGUGAGUAACACGUGGAUAACCUACCUAUAAGACUGGGAUAACUUCGGGAAACCGGAGCUAAUACCGGAUAAUAUUUUGAACCGCAUGGUUCAAAAGUGAAAGACGGUCUUGCUGUCACUUAUAGAUGGAUCCGCGCUGCAUUAGCUAGUUGGUAAGGUAACGGCUUACCAAGGCAACGAUGCAUAGCCGACCUGAGAGGGUGAUCGGCCACACUGGAACUGAGACACGGUCCAGACUCCUACGGGAGGCAGCAGUAGGGAAUCUUCCGCAAUGGGCGAAAGCCUGACGGAGCAACGCCGCGUGAGUGAUGAAGGUCUUCGGAUCGUAAAACUCUGUUAUUAGGGAAGAACAUAUGUGUAAGUAACUGUGCACAUCUUGACGGUACCUAAUCAGAAAGCCACGGCUAACUACGUGCCAGCAGCCGCAGUAAUACGUAGGUGGCAAGCGUUAUCCGGAAUUAUUGGGCGUAAAGCGCGCGUAGGCGGUUUUUUAAGUCUGAUGUGAAAGCCCACGGCUCAACCGUGGAGGGUCAUUGGAAACUGGAAAACUUGAGUGCAGAAGAGGAAAGUGGAAUUCCAUGUGUAGCGGUGAAAUGCGCAGAGAUAUGGAGGAACACCAGUGGCGAAGGCGACUUUCUGGUCUGUAACUGACGCUGAUGUGCGAAAGCGUGGGGAUCAAACAGGAUUAGAUACCCUGGUAGUCCACGCCGUAAACGAUGAGUGCUAAGUGUUAGGGGGUUUCCGCCCCUUAGUGCUGCAGCUAACGCAUUAAGCACUCCGCCUGGGGAGUACGACCGCAAGGUUGAAACUCAAAGGAAUUGACGGGGACCCGCACAAGCGGUGGAGCAUGUGGUUUAAUUCGAAGCAACGCGAAGAACCUUACCAAAUCUUGACAUCCUUUGACAACUCUAGAGAUAGAGCCUUCCCCUUCGGGGGACAAAGUGACAGGUGGUGCAUGGUUGUCGUCAGCUCGUGUCGUGAGAUGUUGGGUUAAGUCCCGCAACGAGCGCAACCCUUAAGCUUAGUUGCCAUCAUUAAGUUGGGCACUCUAAGUUGACUGCCGGUGACAAACCGGAGGAAGGUGGGGAUGACGUCAAAUCAUCAUGCCCCUUAUGAUUUGGGCUACACACGUGCUACAAUGGACAAUACAAAGGGCAGCGAAACCGCGAGGUCAAGCAAAUCCCAUAAAGUUGUUCUCAGUUCGGAUUGUAGUCUGCAACUCGACUACAUGAAGCUGGAAUCGCUAGUAAUCGUAGAUCAGCAUGCUACGGUGAAUACGUUCCCGGGUCU
rnacentral:rRNA from 1 species